rnacentral:rRNA from 1 species
AGACCGAUAGCGAACAAGUAGAGUGAUCGAAAGAUGAAAAGCACUUUGGAAAGAGAGUCAAAAAGCACGUGAAAUUGUUGAAAGGGAAGCGCUUGCAGCCAGACGUGCCCGCAGUUGCUCACCCAGGCUCUUGCCUGGGGCACUCUUCUGCGGGCAGGCCAGCAUCAGUUCGGGCGGUUGGAUAAAGGUCUCUAUCACGUACCACCCUUCGGGGUGUCCUUAUAGGGGAGACGCAACACGGCCAGCCUGAACUGAGGACCGCGCAUCAGCUAGGAUGCUGGCGUAAUGGCUGUAAGCGGCCCGUCUUGAAACACGGACCAAG